AUCCUUUUGUAGUUUGUAAGUGUGAUGAUUGGGUUUUCACGCUGAUGUUUGAGAUGUGCCUCCCUCAAACCUUGUUAUGACCUUGGCACAUUACCCAUCUGAUG
ensembl:snoRNA